rnacentral:rRNA from 1 species
UACAGAGGUCCCAAGCGUUGUUCGGAUUCACUGGGCGUAAAGGGUGCGUAGGUGGCGGGGUAAGUUUGAUGUGAAAUCUCCAAGCUUAACUUGGAAACUGCAUUGAAUACUAUCCCGCUCGAGGUUUGGAGGGGGGACUGGAAUUCGUCGGUGUAGCAGUGAAAUGCGUAGAUAUCGAGAGGAACACCAGUGGCGAAGGCGGGUCUCUGGGCCGUAACUGACGCUGAGGAGCGAAAGCGUGGGGAGCGAACAGGA